AAAAUUUUAGUUUUCUAGUGGGAUUUGGCUACUUUGGCUAGCUUGGUUUUGGUAGUUGGGGAAUCUUGGUUGUUCGGAAAGUUAGGGAUGUUCAAAUUGUUGGGGAAGUUGUUGUUGGGAGUAAUCCGCUCUCUUGAUUGAUUUUGAAGGUCGGGAGUGAUUUUACGUUCACCAUACCAAUUGUUGAUACAAGGAGGAAGUUGUGGAGUUUUGUGAUGAUUCACAUAGUGGGCAAAGAGCCAUAAGAGGAUUGAGCUAGUCAGAAUGCGAAGGUUGAGAAAGGAGUAGAGAAGGGGAGAAUGAAG
rnacentral:lncRNA from 1 species